rnacentral:rRNA from 1 species
GAUGAACGCUGGCGGCGUGCCUAAUACAUGCAAGUAGAACGCUGAAGGAAGGAGCUUGCUCUUUCCGGAUGAGUUGCGAACGGGUGAGUAACGCGUAGGUAACCUGCCUGGUAGCGGGGGAUAACUAUUGGAAACGAUAGCUAAUACCGCAUAACAGUAGAUGUUGCAUGAUAUCUACUUAAAAGGUGCAAUUGCACCACUACCAGAUGGACCUGCGUUGUAUUAGCUAGUUGGUGAGGUAACGGCUCACCAAGGCGACGAUACAUAGCCGACCUGAGAGGGUGAUCGGCCACACUGGGACUGAGACACGGCUCAGACUCCUACGGGAGGCAGCAGUAGGGAAUCUUCGGCAAUGGACGGAAGUCUGACCGAGCAACGCCGCGUGAGUGAAGAAGGUUUUCGGAUCGUAAAGCUCUGUUGUAAGAGAAGAACGAGUGUGAGAGUGGAAAGUUCACACUGUGACGGUAUCUUACCAGAAAGGGACGGCUAACUACGUG